AGUCUAAACCGAAGUUGGAGGUGCUCCGGCAAGACCCUCCGAUGCUCAAGUCAGUACUCUGCUUCAACAGAAAUGGAGUGCUCGAGUGAGAAUUUUAGCAGAGUUUUGAGACAGAUUUUUGAGCUUAGAGAAGAACGUAUCUGGGGGUCCCUUUUUAUAGAUGGAGAGCGUAACUGAUUGACAGCGACGUCUGUAACUGCCUGGUAGUGGGCCGUUCGUGGCCGCGUAGAGUUUGUUGCGGAGAGUAGUGGCGUCAAGGGCCAUUCAGGGUCACGUGGAGUUUGUUACGGAGAGUGGAGUGGUGUCCGUUGUCACGACUUGCCAGAGAGUGAUGGAGCCCAGAGAGUGGAGUGGUGUCUAUUGUCAUGACUUGC
rnacentral:lncRNA from 1 species